AUUGAACGCUGGCGGCAUGCCUUACACAUGCAAGUCGAACGGCAGCACGGGGCAACCUGGUGGCGAGUGGCGAACGGGUGAGUAAUGCAUCGGAACGUACCUUUCAGUGGGGGAUAACGUAGCGAAAGUUACGCUAAUACCGCAUAUUCUGUGAGCAGGAAAGCAGGGGAUCGCAAGACCCUGCGCUGAUUGGGCGGCCGAUGUCAGAUUAGCUAGUUGGUGAGGUAAAGGCUCACCAAGGCGACGAUCUGUAGCGGGUCUGAGAGGAUGAUCGGCCACACUGGAACUGGGACACGGUCCAGACUCCUACGGGAGGCAGCAGUGGGGAAUUUUGGACAAUGGGGGCAACCCUGAUCCAGCCAUGCCGCGUGGGUGAAGAAGGCCUUCGGGUUGUAAAGCUCUUUCGGCCGGGAAGAAAUCGCACGGGCUAAUACCCUGUGUGGAUGACGGUACCGGAAUAAGAAGCACCGGCUAACUACGUGCCAGCCGCCGCAGUAAAAC
rnacentral:rRNA from 1 species